UCUCGUAAAGUCAAGUGAGCCAUGACAUAUGAGCUCUUAUUGUGAGCACACAGGACGGUGGCAUCUUUCUAAGGUUUUUUUUAUUUUCCCAGCAAUCAGUACAACCAAGUCAUCGUUAUAAGGCAUCGCCCUCUUUUGCCCACCCCCCCAGCACCAGGUGUGGCCACUAGCCUAUAUGAAGGCCCAAAAUUGUGUGUUCCUUUCUGCUCUGACAAUGGCAUGCCCAUUCGUGCGAGAUGUGGUGGAUGAAGAAGCACUUGUGCUGAGGAGAGCCUUCAGGCGAGAAAGGGUCUUCAGGGACCGGUUGGACCCACUGGCCUUGCCUGAUGACCAUCUAUAUGAAAGAUACAGGUUUUCUGCAGAUGGCAUCAGGUAUCUAUGCAGACUACUGGGUCCCAGGAUUAAGCACCGCACUGCACGGAGCCAUGCACUGAGUGUGGAGCAAAUGGUUUGUGUGGCCUUGCGCUUUUUUGCUAGUGGAGCCUUCCUGUACUCAGUGGGGGAUGCAGAACAGCUGAACAAGGCCACAAUUUGCCGCACAAUAAGGAGUGUGUGUCUGGCUAUCAAAGCAUUAGCAGAUGUCUUCAUCUCCUUCCCUGGCCACAGAAGACUCUGUGACAUCAAAGAGGAGUUCUAUAGGAUUGCAGAUGGUCUGCAAUGCUGACUGUGUGAUCAGCAAUGUUGUGGUGAAAUGGCCUGGCUCAGUCCAUGACUCCAGAAUCUUUCGGGCCUCUGAAAUCUAUCAGUGCCUAUCACAAGGUGAAUUCUCUGGUGUGUUGCUGGGAGACAGGGGGUAUGGCUGCCAGCCUUUUCUCCUGACACCUUUCACAGACCCCCAGGAAGCACAGCAGGCCUACAACCAUGCCCAUGCCAGGACCAGGGCCAGAGUUGAAAUGACCUUUGGCCUCCUGAAGGCACGCUUUCACUGCCUUCACAAAUUAAGGGUCAGCCCUGUUAGGGCAUGUGAUAUUACUGUGGCUUGUGCUGUCCUCCACAAUGUGGCCUGCCUGAGGAAGGAGAGGGCCCCCAGAGUGCCACCAGCCAUGGACUGGGACAAUCCGGCAAUCUUCCCUGAUGACGACUGGUCGGCUACUGAGGGACCAAUAUGUGUUGAAUUAUUUUAGUUAGUAUGUGUGCUUUCAAUUUUGGUUAAAUAUGUCCUGCGGUGGCAGAGGAAUUUGGUUUUUUUUGGGUUCGUUUUUUGACGAAUUCGGCCUCUUAUGAUGUUUGUGCGGUAUACUGUGUGUAAUACAAGGCUGCAGGGAGGCUACCUGCAUCCAUUCAUUUGUCUGUUCAGUUGAUGUGUAUGGAUUUGUCCUGCAUUUAUUUUAGUGUGCAGACAUGCAGGGUGUGUUAUAUACAGACCUUUGAAUGUGUAUGUAUCAUUUUGUAUAAUAUGCUUGGAUUCUGUGCUUUCCAUCUUGUAGAGUCACUGUGACUUCAGUUUCGAAAGGAGCUGAUGGUUUACCUGCUUUGUUUUGUCCUUAUUCAAUAAAGGAACAUAAUGUUA